UACGUAGGGUGCGAGCGUUGUCCGGAAUUAUUGGGCGGAAAGAGCUCGUAGGCGGUCUGUCGCGUCUGCUGUGAAAUCCCGAGGCUCAACCUCGGGCUUGCAGUGGGUACGGGCAGGCUAGAGUGCGGUAGGGGAGAAUGGAACUCCUGGUGUAGCGGUGGAAUGCGCAGAUAUCAGGAGGAACACCAAUGGCGAAGGCAGCACUCUGGGACGUGACUGACGCUGAGACGCGAAAGCGUGGGGAGCAAACAGG
rnacentral:rRNA from 1 species